GAUGAACGCUGGCGGCGUGCCUAAUACAUGCAAGUCGAGCGAACAGACGAGGAGCUUGCUCCUCUGACGUUAGCGGCGGACGGGUGAGUAACACGUGGAUAACCUACCUAUAAGACUUGGAUAACUUCGGGAAACCGGAGCUAAUACCGGAUAAUAUAUUGAACCGCAUUGUUCAAUAGUGAAAGACGGUUUUGCUGUCACUUAUAGAUGGAUCCGCGCCGCAUUAUCUAGUUGGUAAGGUAACGGCUUACCAAGGCAACGAUGCGUAGCCGACCUGAGAGGGUGAUCGGCCACACUGGAACUGAGACACGGUCCAGACUCCUACGGGAGGCAGCAGUAGGGAAUCUUACGCAAUGGGCGAAAGCGUGACGGAGCAACGCCGCGUGAGUGAUGAAGGUCUUCGGAUCGUAAAACUCUGUUAUUAGGGAAGAACAAAUGUGUAAGUAACUAUGCACGUAUUGACGGUACCUAAUCAGAAAGCCACGGCUAACUACGUG
rnacentral:rRNA from 1 species